rnacentral:rRNA from 1 species
UCGCCUGAAUGGGAUUAUCCCGAGCUAGGGCUUUUAUGGUUGGCAGAGCAUUGCACUCUAUGCAAUGUCAGGUGCGUUCUUAACGAUCCUUGAAAAUCCGGGUAAGAGAUUUAUUCGCACGCCAGGUCGUACCAAUAACCGCAUCAGGUCUCCAAGGUUAGCAGCCUCUGGUCAAUAGGAUAAUGCAGAUAAGGGAAUUCGGCAAAUUAGAUCCGUAACUUCGGGAAAAGGAUUGGCUCUGAGGAUUGGAUUCAAGGGCCCAUUCAUGAACGCUUAGUCGUUAGUUGGUGCGAGGCAACGAGUGCUUUCUGACUUCGACGCUGGAUUGUGUGGGACGCUUCAUCGGCUUUCCUUGAAUAAUUAACAAUUAACUCAGAACUGAAGCGGACAAGGGGAAUCCGACUGUUUAAUAAAAACAUAGCAUUGUGAUGGCCUGAAAAGGUGUUGACACAAUGUGAAUUCUGCCCAGUGCUUUGAAUGUCAAAGUGAAGUAAUUCAACCAAGCGCA